rnacentral:rRNA from 1 species
UAAAAUUUUAUUAAUUAGGUAGUAAAGAAAUUUCUAAAACCUAAAGAAUUUGGCGGUGUUUUAAAUAAUUGGAGGAAUCUGUUAUUUAAUUGAUAACCCACAACAAAUCUUUCCUUAUUUUUGUUUGUAUAUCAUCAUUUAAAGAUAAUAUUUUAAAAUUAUAAUCACAAUUAAUUAAAUUUUAUAAAUUAGAUCAAGAUGCAGCAUAAUAUGGUUAUAAUGGAUUACAAUAUUAUUUAAAUAUAUACGAAUAGUAUAAAGAAAAUGUAUUUGAAGGAGGAUUUAAAAGUAAUUCGGAAAUAAUAUGUUCUUUUGAAUAAUAAUUUAAAACAUGC